AGACGUAGGGGGCAAGCGUUGUCCGGAAUUACUGGGCGUAAAGGGUGCGUAGACGGUUCUGCAAGUCUGGAGUGAAAGCCCGGGGCUCAACCCCGGGACUGCUUUGGAAACUGUGGAACUAGAGUGCAGGAGAGGUAAGUGGAAUUCCUAGUGUAGCGGUGAAAUGCAUAGAUAUUAGGAGGAACACCAGUGGCGAAGGCGACUUACUGGACUGUAACUGACGCUGAAGCACGAAAGCGUGGGGAGC
rnacentral:rRNA from 1 species